UGGGGAAUAUUGGACAAUGGGCGAAAGCCUGAUCCAGCCAUGCCGCGUGUGUGAAGAAGGUCUUCGGAUUGUAAGCACUUUAAGUUGGGAGGAAGGGCAGUAAGUUAAUACCUUGCUGUUUUGACGUUACCGACAGAAUAAGCACCGGCUAACUCUGUGCCAG
rnacentral:rRNA from 1 species